rnacentral:rRNA from 1 species
CCCUUAGAUGUUCUGGGCCGCACGCGCGCUACACUGAUGCAUUCAACGAGCCUAUCCUUGACCGACAGGUCCGGGUAAUCUUUGAAUCUGCAUCGUGACGGGGAUAGAUUAUUGCAAUUAUUAAUCUUCAACGAGGAAUGCCUAGUAGGCGCAAGUCAUCAGCUUGCGUCGAUUACGUCCCUGCCCUUUGAACACACCGCCCGUCGCUCCUACCGAUUGGGUGUGCUGGUGAAAUGUUCGGAUCGGCCGUUUGUCGCGGUUUCCGCGUCAUGUGGCUGAGAAGUUCAUUAAACCCUCCCACCUAGAGGAAGGAGAAGUCGUAACA